GGGCCAUAGCUCAGAGGUAGAGGAUCUGUCUUGCAAGCAAAAGGUCCCAGGUUCAAUCCCUGGCAUCUCUA